rnacentral:sRNA from 1 species
AAGGGCGCACGGUGGAUGCCUUGGCACUAGGAGCCGAAGAAGGACGUGACAAACGACGAAAUGCCUCGGGGAGCUGUAAGUAAGCACUUGAUCCGGGGGUGUCCGAAUGGGGGAACCCAACAGGUUGAUGCCUGUUACCCAUUUC